GCGAAUAUAGUCUAGUGGUAUGACUUUGGCCUUCCAAGCCAAGGGCCCGGGUUCAAUUCCCGGUAUUCGCA
rnacentral:tRNA from 1 species